CAUUAGGAUGCUAAACAGGGUAUAGCGUUAGCCUUUUAAGCUAAAAAUUGGUGACUCCCAACCACCCCUAGUGA
rnacentral:tRNA from 1 species